rnacentral:rRNA from 1 species
AUUGAACGCUGGCGGCAGGCCUAACACAUGCAAGUCGAGCGGAGCGGCGGACGGGUGAGUAAUGCCUAGGAAUUUGCCUGGUAGUGGGGGAUAAAGUACGGAGACGGGCGCUAAUGCCGCAGACUAUAAAAUGAGCCUAGGUCGGCUUAGCUAGAUGGUGGGGUAAAGGGCUAACAAGGCGACGAUCCGUAACUGCCCUGAGAGGAUGAUCAGUCACACUGGAACUGAGACACGGUCCAGACUCCGACGGGAGGCAGCAGUGGGGAAUAUUGGGCAAUGGGCGAAAGCCUGACCCAGCCACGCCGCGUGUGUGAAGAAGGUCUUCGGAUUGUAAAGCACUUUAGUUUGGGAGGCGUUACCAACAGAAUAAGCACCGGCUAACUUCGUGCCAGCAGCCGCGGGAAUAC